AUUCUGUCUGUCUCUCAGUGUCGUGUCUGCGUCCUUGUGUAGUGUUUUCUUGUUUCCUGUUUUAUUGUGAAGGUCUGCGUCUCAUGUAAGUGUGUUCAGUUUUACCUCCCUUGUCUCGUCUCGUUAAUUACCUCCAGCUGUGUCCACCACCUGUGUGUAAUCUCCCUGUGUUUCUCUGUGUGUAUUUAAGUCGUGUCUUCUGUCAUUGUAGCUGCUGGUCUGUCUGUGUAUCCACCAUGCUCCUUCUGUGUGUUCUCCCUGCUGUCCGUCAUCAUUCUCCGCUGUUCAUCCUCCUUCAUGUACAUGUCCUGGGCCCUGUUUCAGAAAGCUGAUUUAGUGCAAACUCUGAGUAAGUAUACCCUGAGUUAACGAAAACUCUGGGUUUUCGGUUUCACAAAGCAAGUUUAGAUUAAUUCUGAGUGAGUUACUAUGACGACACACUCCGUGAAGCUAACCUGCCCCCUAGCAGGUUUACUUCAACUAACCCUGACCUUCUCCGCCUCUUUGUCGGAAACCUGACUGUAGGAAGUGUCAGACAUGGCGUGCCCCUUCCUUGAAGAGCCAGUAGAUGUUGAAGCCCAAAUUCUCCACAGAGCUCUCCGCCGGGAGAGAGUGAUUAGAGCGCGUUUGGACAUUUUAUUAUUUCCUGAUGAUUUUCUGUGUGAACGUUACCGUUUUUCAGCACAAUCUAUAAUUUAUUUGAAUAACAUCCUCAGGCCUUAUAUUGCUCAUGUGACACAUCGCAGACAUUCUCUCAGUUCUGUACAUAUUAUUUGUAUUGCACUUCGUUUUUUUUUGCAAACGGGAGCUUUCUGUAUAAUAUUGGUGACGCUGAGCACGUUUCCAAGGCUACCGUCUGUCGGGCAGUCAGGAAUGUUACAGUUGCACUGAAACGUCUCCUGUACUUGUUUGUGGUGUUCCCCGGUCAUAGACCCACAAGAUUUAUCAAAGAGGGAUUCCACAAAAUUGCAGGGUUCCCAGGCGUGAUUGGCUGUAUAGAUGGCACUCACAUUCCAUUCUGCUGCUUGAAGUGUUCCAUUUCCAAAAAGCAUUUUUUUAUUUUCUUGAUCAAACAGGUCUUGUACAGCUGCUUUACGGGGAGUUAUUGAAACACAGAAAAUAGCAUUGACAUUCAUAGUACAUGCCUACUUAGGUUGGUUGUAAAUCAGUGCUGAACAUCUUACUGAGGAAAGGUUUGUUGGAGAAGUGGCUGGACCCUCUUCCUCUACAUUUUUUAUAUUUCAUUUUUACUUGCUGCCAGGAACGUUUGGGGCCUGUUGGGUUGCACCUGCGCUCACAUCACAUCACAAAAUAAAAUAUAUAAAAUAAAAAAUAAAAUGAAAUAUAAUAAAAUAACGUGUUAAAUGGGUGGAAAUCCCUAGAUCAAUGUUUAAAUUAACACUCACGCAUUGACUCUGUCGGCUAUGUAUUGCCAUGCAUGCUCCCUUUCUUUUGCAGCUGAGGCUGUUACUUUUUUUCCGCAAAAUUUGCAUGUUAUCGGCAUAUGCUGCCAUCAGAAUUUCGGCCUCAAGCGCUGUAAAAUACAUUGACCGCGCCUUCUUUCCCUCCGUCUCCAUGGUGACUCGCUUAAUCUGUGCUCCACUAAUCAGGGCUUUAUGCGCGCGCUUAACUUGGGGUUAAAGCAACUCCGCGUUGAUUGAACUAAUUGUUAUCAGCCUUUCUGAAACCGAAUAUUCCGA